rnacentral:lncRNA from 1 species
GACAGGGGUCUGGGGAAACACCUUCAAAGUCCCUUUAAAAAGGGGAGGUGAGGAAGGGUUAUGGUUCCAACAUUAAUGGGAAGACCUUUCACCUCUUAAAGAAGUAGACAGACAUAUUUGUCUGGGGGCUCUGGGGUCAGAGUUGGUGGGUUGUACAGAGUUGGUAGCCUGGUGAUCUUGAGCAAAAUAUUUAAUUUCCACGUGUCCUCUCUGGAACUUGAUUUCUUCAUUUUAAACGAAUUUUGGCCCUACAGCUUUGUGGUGAAGAAACAGGACAGAGUAAAGCUUCCCCCCACGGUGACCGCUCUGCAGGUAUUAGCUAACAUUUGCUUGUGUUCACUAUCUCAUUUAAUCCUCACAAGAACUCUACGAGAGGAAGUCCUAUCAACACUCCUGUUUUAUUCUUUUAAUUUAAAAUUUUGGAAUUUUAAACAUUAAAAUAUAAUUUUCCCCUUCCUUUUCUUCCUUCCAAUUCCUUUUACAUACCUGCUCCCACUCCGUCUGAAACUACGGCCUCUUUUUCUUUAAUUGUUGCUGUUAUCUGUGUGUGUGUGUGUGUGUGUGUGUGUGUGUGUGAGAGAGAGAGAGAGAGAGAGAGAGAGAGAGCCUAAAUAAAUACAGCCUGCUGUGUCUGUUUAUUAUUUUCUGUAUGUAUAUGAUUUCAGGGCUGACCAUUUGGUAUUGGAUAAGCAAUUAAAUUAGGGGGGUCUUCCCUGGGAAAGACUAUUUCUCCUGAACUUAGCACCCCUUAGUUGUAUAUAGCUCUUUGUCCGUAAACUUCCCUCUUUGAAACUAGAAGACACAGAAUUUAAAGAAUGUGCCCACCAUCACAAGGCUACCAGCAUUCAACCAACUAAAGAUUUUUCUACGAUAACACCUGUAUUAACCCGUUGAAAAUUGUAUACAAUGUAUUUAGGAUCCUGUUUCUCCUCCACAACACACACACUCCCGGCAGAGUUAGGAUUCCAAAACCCAGCUGCAGGUGGGGGAGGAAUCACUGUGCAAUGUUGCCCUCUAGAGGAAAACAGCAACACGACAUAACUGAAUAGCUAGAACAAAGGAAACAGAGGCUGUAGUGGAAAGGGUCUACUCCCAAGGAGGCAUUCCCAGGGUCUGGAGAGUGUCUGGAUUGUUAGGAGAUGGAUGGAGUGCCCAGGAUGUCUAGUACAUGAGGCCAAGGUGGCUGUUAAAGGUUCCACAAAGCACAGGGCAGCUCCCAUGGCCAACAGGUGAUUGUCACCAGUGUUGAAAAGUUCUGCCCCAGCAGCUGGGGGGUAGCAGGGAUGGAGGGAAGAAGGUAUGGAGGAGUGUUGAAGAGGUUAGAGUGGGUAGUGAUGGAAACGGGAGCAAAGAAAAGGCUUCCUUCACCGUGAGCAAAUUUGAACAUGAGCUUCCCUGCACUCUCAAAUCCGAAGGCCCAGAGGCUGAAGGACUGUUUCUUUCCUAGGGAGAUGCCCCAGAUUCAGAGAGGAGUGUGAACACCAAGAGAGGGACCUUUGUACCAGGGACAGGGACUGCCCGAAGAAAGAGAAGUGCUGUGUCUUCAACUGUGGAAAGAAAUGCUUAAACCCCCAACAAGGUAAUAAUACCAAGGGCUUUGGAAUACCACAAGCCUUUUACCAUGCCUCCUCUUCUGCCCACCUGGGCUGCCAGUGCCCCAUGGGUCACUGGGGGUGGGGGUGGGUGCUGGGUAAGAUUGCUGCCUUCGGGGUCCUGUGGGAUAGAUCCAUUACAGAUUCUGGUGAGGUUGUGGCAGUGAUGUUCUUAUCCCAGCAGCUAAUUAUGAGCCUCAGUUUCCCCCAAAUAAAUGUUGGGUGCAUGGGU